CCCGUGUAUGGACAGAUAGCUCAAACAGAGCUAUUCAAACAGAUGCCUAUGGCACAGAUAAAAGCUGCACUGUUGGUGGGUCACAGCCUCUGCCUCUGUGUGAGGCUGCAUUUCAGUUCCGCCAGCACAGACCUCAGGAGUGCUUAAAGCAGGCCACUGCACUGUCGAAGAGUUUGCUCCAAGAACCAACGUCGUGCAACGGUUCUGCCACGGUCACUCAAAGUCCAUCGUGGAAAUGUGAGAGCGCAGCAGAACACGCU
rnacentral:lncRNA from 1 species